AUGGGGCGAUAUUGCAGAAAAAAAAAUUCUGUGUCAUUCAUCAUGAUUGCUCCUAAUCUAUUUCCACCUACAACCAAACUGAAUAAAAGCCACCUCUCUAACAUCUGAACAAGUUGUACAAAACUCUUCAAAAGUGCAUUUUAAGACCUGUUUGCUUUGAUUUUAGACUAGAGAGGCCACAGAGCUUCCUAAGAUUUAUCAGUGCAAAUAGCAACAGUUAUCAUUUCCGUAGAUCUUAAUAAUAAAAUCAAAUUCCUGAACAUCAGACACUUGUUCAUGUAAGAUGGUUUAAAGACAAGAAAAACUGCAGCCAUGUCUUGUCUAAUGAAAAGAGCCAAACUUACACUUGUUUACACUUGAGAUAUGCUGCGAGUUGAGUUGCUUGACGGUGAAGUCUCUUGCUUCUGUAAACAGCACCCUUUUCAUUUCAUCACAUAACACUUUUAAAGAUCUUCAGAAGAAAGUUAUCUCAGAUCAAAACAGCUCUUAGUUUGCUAUUAUAUUAAUCUUAACAUUUUCAAUCUUAUAUUAGCAUUAGAUAUGGAGAUGACAUGGCCUUGAGUCACAAUGGUACUGCACAACAUACCAACAAGACCAUCAGUACUGCAAAACCCAACCUAGACUUGUAAGGUCAUCAAGAAGAGAUCUAAUUGGUGACAAUCCAGGUUACUUUAACAUCCUCCCUUUCACCCACAGAAUUCUGUCAGCCAUCAGUAAUGUAGACUGGGCUACCUGAAAACAUACAGUAACAGCAGUUCUUCUCUGGUACUUCAAUAAACUUUGUCAUAAAGACAGAAUGGAAGUGUGGAGCAAGAAGUAUGAAGAAAGAAGGGGAAGAUAUUUUCCAAAUAUCCACAGUAUUAUUGUAUUAUUUCUCCACAUUUUCAUGGUAUUAUUAUAUUAUUUUCCAAAUAUUCAUAGUAUUAUGUGGGAGUGUUUCCAAGAGUUUUGUUACUAUGGUCUUUAACUACAACUUCAGGGCGUUUGUUGAUUUAUUCUUGGGUAGGAGCUGAAAGCUGGGAUUUGGAAGCAAAUUUUUUUCCAAGUUUUGCUGCACCAGUUAACUUAUUCCUACUAUAAUAAAAAAGUAUUGUGGAAUGCCUACAUAACUUAGUUUUUAUCUUCUUUGGUAUUUAAAGAGAUUAUAUAACAAAACCGAAACGAGGCAGACUUAGAUGUAACAUAGAAAAAGAUCAAUUUUAGAAAGUAAAUCAAAAGAGGCAAAACUUUUAAACCUUAUUUGUACCGUAUUUGUUAAUUCCAACCUGGAAAAAGAAAUAAUCUUUUGGGCUACAGCUGACCAACAAAAAGAUGCAGGUUGCAACUAUUUGUAAAAAUGCUGAAGUAACCAUUUUUCAUAGAUUUGAGAAUUACCAAUUCUUGAAAAUAGAAAUUUAAACCAAACCAUAAGCAUAAGAAAGUUCUGUAGUGGUUUUUUCCCUAGUAAGCCAGCCUCUACUGCAAGUUUCCAGCACAACAAAUUACUCAUAUGCCCAUGCUGUCACAUACUCAGACCACAGGCAGUGGAAAAAGGCUGUUGGGAACUCUGAGAAUCUGAGCAUUGCUUCUUACUAAGUGGCAUUCACCAGCAAGUGGAUCAUCAGCCCAAUAGGUAAAGCUCUCCCUAAAAAUCACCCUACAAUUUGGCUAUUGCUCAAAUACAUAGGACUAGGAGCUGCAAGAGAGUAUUUGUGUUUAAACUGGAAGCCUUCUUCAAGUAUUUAAAGCUGGUUUGCAAAUGUUAGUUCAUAUUAAUACAGGUCAAAGGUUUCUUCUGCACAAAGAAAUCACAGACAUUUCUAGAAAAAAUAAUUAAAGAUCAUUGUGUUCAUAGUUACCAGUAUGUUUUGGAUAAAUUUUAUAGUGAUUCCAGAAAAAAACCCUGAGUCCUGGUUUUCCAACAUACUAAACAGAUUAAGGUAUUUUGAAUUAUUAACCUUUUGCUUUGCAUUAUUAACCUUUAAUCAGCUAUAUGGCCAACACACAGAACUACUCACAGCAAAGUAAAAUAUUAUUCACAGAUAAAUUACUACCAUGUGGCUUAUUAAAAACUUUCUGAACAUGUUACCAAACUGUGUAGCAUCAACAUUUUGGUCAAGUGUCUGAAAUUUUCUUGUAGACAUAGGUAACAGUGGUAUUCACAUUGUUUAGCUAGUAUGUGCUCAAGUUGUGCAUUAGAUUAACCACAGUCUUCAUUUUCAAAACAGUAAUAUUGCUCAUAAAACACAUAUUUAACAUGAAAGGCUACCCCUUGCAGAUGGAACUAAUUAUGAGUAAGAAUGCUUAUGACACAGCAGACAAAUAAAGACCUUCCUUGAGCGGGACUAAUCAGUGGAUUUCAGCAGCAGAUGAGAAUGAGGUACAGACACGAGGAGCAAAAUCUUGGUUCCUCUUAAUGGGACUUGUGCCACUAAGUUUAGUGAAGACAGGAUUCCACCCUCAGAUAUGAAAAGUAUAAAACAUCUUCCAUUCAAGAAUGAGAAAACAACUCAAUUACAGAUCUUAAUGAGCCAUUAGUGUGCAUGUCACUCAAAUUGAAAGUGAUUGAUCAAGACCAGACAUCUGUGAGCAAGAUGGGAGAGCUGAAUGCUGCAACAGUGUCACAUGAUAGAGAAGAUCACUGCUGCUCUGCAAGUGGUUAAUUUUGGGGAAAUGUUCCUUUAAUAUCUGGAAUAAUCCAGUAAAUUCUUGCUUGGUAACAACCUAGUCAAAUUCCUGUUUGGCAUCAUUCUGGUGAAAAAAAACGAAACCAAAACCAAGCAAACCUCAGUCCUGAGUUUAACAAAUUAGAAAUUUGCAUACAAUCAUUAAUCACAAUUCAGACUAAACACUAAUGUGAGCCUUUAUGAGAUUGGACUAGGUAUACAUAUUCAAGAUUUUAUGAAGUUCACCCGAUUGAAAAAAAGUAAUAACAAAAUUCUGCCAGUAGUGCAGUGCCCAUGAUCAUCACAUCAGUAUAAACAUGGAAAGAUUGCUCAUCACUGUCUCCCACAACAUCUCACUGUAUCUACCAUCAGACUUCCUUAGGCAGCCUCAAUAAUUCCAGGCCAAGAAUAUUUUGUAUUAGUAAACUGUGGUUUUCCUGAAAGGGGAGUGUCAUUUACUUGUUUCAAAAUACAGUUUGCAGAAGAGAUUUAUGCUUUUAUAAGAUACUUUUAGAGUUUAUAUCAAAUGUAACUUUGGUAAAAAUGCUCUGUAGUGUGAAUAAAGAGAAAACUCCCCUUGCAGGCUUGACUGAGCAAAAGAAAGAUGAGAAAUACAUACUCCCAGCAGAUGAAAAGGAGAUGGAUACUAGUCACAAGUUACUAAACAAGAGCUAGUAGAAUUCUACAAACAUUUUUCUCCUUAGGCUACAAAGUUUUGACAACCUAAGAACAGCACUUACACUAUAUUUAUAGUUAAAUAUCAUACCAUAUUUAUAGAAUUAAAUGACAUUAAUAUUUCAUAGUA